AUUUUGAGUUACUAUCUCAUUAUAAUGAGAUAGUCUACACAGGCUCAGGACAUUUGGAGACUGUGGAGGUUGAAGCCCCAUUUCGAAUUGGUUCAGUCCACCUGUAGCGGUUUGACUGUACCGUCAGUCGCGCCUGCCGCCUGCAAGCACCCAGCUAAACAUAGCUGUUCACAACGUGCAGGUUGUUUCAGAAAGACAGAAGACUUGAUGGUGUGGAGCACCUGCAGUUUCACUGGCCUUGUCUGAUCACACAAGAGUGUAUGAUCACAGAAUGGAUGACCUGAGUGAUUUCCUGAGGCAAAGGAAUAUUCCAGAGGAAACUAUCGAGACCAUGCUGAGAGAGAAGAUUGAUACCAACGUCAUCCAGCUCAUGACAGAUGAAGAGCUAAAGAAUUAUUUGCCAUCAUAUGGAGACCGCAUAGCCCUAUCAGGAUACUGUAGAAGGAAGGAAAAUGGCCCCCCAAGCCGUCGCAAAUCAAAACUGUUUGAGCGCCUGAAAUCAAAGCUGGGUAAAAGAAAAACUGCUCAUGAAGAUGGCUGUGGAAUGGAAAAAGAAGAGCAAUCUGAAACAACUGUAAAGAAGAAUGCUCUGAAGUCAAAGAGAAAAAUAGAAAUAGGCUGGCUGCUUUAUGAUGAAGAACAACAGGCUUUUAAACAAGUAAGAGCAA